rnacentral:rRNA from 1 species
GUGGGGAGUUUGGCUGGGGCGGCAUACCUGUUAAACGAUAACGCAGGUGUCCUAAGGGGAGCUCAUGGAGAACAGAAAUCUCCUGUAGAACAAAAGGGUAAAAGCUCCCUUGAUUUUGAUUUUCAGUAUGAAUACAAACUGUGAAAGCAUGGCCUAUCGAUCCUUUAGAUUUUAGAAAUUUUAAGCUAGAGGUGUCAGAAAA